AUGGCAUCUCUAGCGAGAAUAGUUCAGUUGGUGCACGACGACGUGGUGGCUCGGCAAGUGUGGGCAACAGCAGUAGGGUCCCCCUUGAAGUGGAGCAUGAUGACUACAAUUCUGGGGUUGAUGAAGAGAAGCUAUAUUCUAAUGUUAUUCGGAAUUUACGACGGGCACCUCGGGCUGAUAACCAAGAUGAGGCUCACAAUGCAGUCCAUGUGGAUGAUGACGCGGUGGGUGAGGACGAAGACCUUGCAGCUGUUGAAUGGGACCCUUUGA
rnacentral:rRNA from 1 species